GCCCCCAUAGCUCAGAGGAUAGAGCGUCGCCCUCCGGAGGCGAAGGCGCAGGUUCGAUUCCUGCUGGGGGCA
rnacentral:tRNA from 1 species